CCAGACCAUAAAACACAGAACCUGGGUGAGUGGCCUUGCUCUCCACCUCUUUCCUUUGGGUUCUGCCAACGCUGGCCGGCUCUCCUCAGCCUCCGGCCCCCUCUCUCCGUGAGAUCGAGCACCAUGCCUUCGAUUAAACUGCAGAGUUCUGAUGGAGAGGUAUUUGAGGUUGAUGUUGAAACUGCCAAACAAUCUGUGACUAUCAAGACCAUGUUAGAAGAUUUGGGAAUGGACGAUGAAGGCGACGAUGACCCAGUUCCUCUACCAAAUGUGGAUGCAGCAAUAUUACAAAAGCUCCUUCAGUGGUGCACCCACCACAGGGCUGACCCUCCUCCUCCUGAGGACGAUGAGAACAAGGAAAAGCGGACAGAUGACAUUCCUGUUUGGGACCAAGAAUUCCUCAACGUUGACCAAGGAACCCUGUUUGAACUCACUCUGGCUGCAAACUAUUUAGACAUCAAAGGUUUGCUUGAUGCUACAUGCAAGACGGUGGCCAAUAUGAUCCAGGGGAAAACCCCGGAAGAGAUUCGCAAGACCCUCAAUAUAAAGAGUGACUUUACUGCAGAACAGGAAGCCCAGGUCCGCAGAGAGAACCAGUGGUGUGAAGAGAAGUGA